AUUUUGUAAACUUUAAAAUGCUAUCUGAAUCCCAGCUCUCAUUGUUAUACUUUGAACUUCUCAUUUCCGAUGGAAGGCACAAAAUGAGACCCCAUAUUUCUAAAUGUGGGUCUUGGAUGAAAUUAGUGUUGCGUGACUAUGCUUAUUUGUUACAAGGAUUGUGUUUUUCUUUUCUUUUCAUUGAGGAAGGGGAUGAGAAGGAGAGCUAGCUAAAAUGUUGCCAGCAACGAAGAAAAACAUGUUAAAGAACUUAAAAAAAAUACGCAGAAGAUGACAGAAGGGACUUCAUAAGGUAACUUAGAUUUCCGAUGUCUUCUUAAAAGUGCAUGGUGGAAUUUGGAAAGAACUUUUAUGGAUUGAUACCGAAUGAAAUGAGCAGAACCAGGGAAACAACUUAUAUUACAUCAAGAUUGCAAAAACAAACAAUUUGGGGGGAAGCUGGAUUGCUCAGUGGAUUGAGAGCCAGACCUGGAGUUAGGAGAUCCUAGGUUCAAAUCUGGUGGCAGACACUUCCUAGUUGUGUGACCCUGGGCAUACCACUUAACGCCCAUUGCCUAGUCCAUUCUUCUGACUUGGAGCCAAUACAUAGUAUUGGUUCUCUCUCUCUCUCUCUCUCUCUCUCUCUCUCUCUCUCUCUCUCUCUCUCUCUCUUCUUUCUUUCUUUCUUUCUUUCUUUCUUUCUCUCCUCUCUCUCUCUUUCUCUCUCUCUCUCUCUCUCUCUCUCUCUCUCCUCCUCCAUCUCUCUCUCUCUCUCUCUCUCUCUCUCUCUCUCUCUCUCCUCCUCCAUCUCUCUCUCUCUCUCUCUCUCUCUCUCUCUCUCUCUCUCUCUCUCUCUCUCUCUCUCUCUCUCUCUCUCUCUCUCUCUCUCUCUCUCUCUCUCUUCCCCCCCCUUACCUCCCUCUUUUUCUCUCUCUCUCUCCAAUGGAGAACGUUGCUAGGUAUACUUCUAAGUUUUCCGUAAUACCAAUAUCUUUAUUCUGUU
rnacentral:lncRNA from 1 species